UGUCAGAAAUUUGACUUUUUAUAGGGAAUUCUUCCCGGGAAAAUUCUAUAGAAAUCUUCUGAUAGUUUUCCCGAAAUCUUCUCACUAUUGCAAAAAGUCUGCGUGGUUAAUUUUGCAAUUGAAAAAUAAUAGUGAAACAUUUAAUAUUAAUGAGAAGACUUCUCCAAUUUUAUUUUAGGUUUUGGUCAAACCUUGGUUACGAGAGAAGACUUCUAGAGAAGUCUUUUCUGGAAAAAUCAAAUAUAGUCAAUUGCAAAACACUACAAAAAAAGUCUCCAUUAAUAGCACAUUGUUAUAGCACGUUUUACUGAACUGCUAUUGUAGAUGAGCGAAAAAUUAUCGUACUAUAUAAUAGCAUUAGAUAAACGUUAUUAUAGAGUGAAACGUAAAAUAGCGCUUAAUUAGUGCUAUUUUAAAAAUUAAGUGAGCAGGAAGUUAAAAUUACUGAUUUUACCAAUAAUUAGCAGAAAAUUAUACUUAAGCGCCGAAACAUUAUUUAAGCAGUUUCAGUAAUACUAUCAAAAACAUAUUAUAGCAUUUUUCUAACGCUAAGAAAAGCUAUUUGAACCCCUAAACCCUAAACAUGGUUUUAAACCCUAAACUCUAAAAACAACCUUUAAAACUCUAAUAUUUUCAUAUUAUAACUUCAAAAUUUAAUCUUCUUAAUCUUAAACUAUAAUUUUCUAACACAAAUCUUUACUCUUUAAUCAAACUUUAUAUCCUAAAUCCUAACUUCAAACAUAAAUUAUACAUUCAAUACUCUAAAUAUAAACUUCAAACUUUAUAUCAUAGAAUACUAAACUUUGUUUUAAAACACUAAACUUUAUUUAUGUAACUUAUAUCAUAAAACACUAAGUUUAUUUUAUAUUUCAAACCUUAUAUCUAAGCUUCUAACCCUAAUUAUUUUCUAACUCUUACUUACAAAAGUAACAAAAUAUUAAAUCUUCAAACCUUUAUUAAAUUUAUAAUUUUUCAAACUUUUCAAAAAACCUUGACUUCAUACACUAUAUCCACACUUUAACCUCAUAUCCUAAAUUUAAACUCAAAAUUUAAUCUUAUAUCCAAACUUUAAUCUCAUAUCUUAAAUUUAACCCUAAUAAUUCAUACUUUAACCUCAUAUCUUAAAUUUAAACUCAAAUUUUUUCUUUUUAUUUUAAACUAUAAAUCCCAUUCUCCGAAUUUUAAACCCUCUAUCAUAAACAUAACUUUAAAGUUUUAAUUUUAAUAUUUUAAUUUUCAUAUUAGAAAAAUUCAAAAGCUUGAUAUAUAAAUUUUACAUCAUCUAACAUAUAAAUUAAAUAGAACUGUAAAUCAAAAUUUUAUAUAACUUUACCAAAGAUAAAAAAAUCAAUUAACAAAGAAAAUUGUUAUGGACCAAUGAUAUCAAAGUACUCAGAUCACAACCUCCACCAUUGGAUUAGAUUAAUCCAACAGACCACAUCAAAUCCCUCUUUAUCUUUCUCUUUCCUCUCCAUUUUCUUCGUCUACGACAUUCACUCUCUUCACUCACGAAUCUGCUCACUUCUUCUUCUUUCUUUUCUCUUUAUCUCUUUGGUUCACUCAUGUCUCUGCACAUCUCUCUCUAUCUCUAUCAAAAUUUUCUUUUAAUUUCAUCUCCUCUUCACCACCACCACCGGCGGCCUUCAUGUUCGUCACCACCACGCUCUUUUGAUUUCGUCGCGUUCUUCACCACCGUCACGCUCAUCACCAACACCACAGAUCUGAGAAGGAGAAGUAGUGGUGUGACAGAGCGGCAUCUCCGGUUAAGCGUGGUGCGGCAGCGGUGCAAAGCCGGUAGCUUGUUGCUGGUUCGUGGACGGUGGCUGAAGCUUUGUGAAGGUGGCGAUGGUGGCUGAAGCUUUGUGAAGAUGGCGAUGGUGGCUGAAGCGUCUAUUAGGUUUAGAUUUAGGUUUAGUUAAUCAAUUGGUUUAGUUAGGUUUACAUUAAUUAAUUGGUUUAAUUAGGAUUAGAUUAAUAUAUUUAUGUAUUAUUGGUUAAGUUUUGUAAACCGGGAUUAAUUUGUAAACCAAUUUUAAUAUAUAAAUAAUAUUUAUUUUAAUUUCAA